AUUGAACGCUGGCGGCAUGCUUUACACAUGCGAGUCGGACGGCAGCACAGAGAAGCUUGCUUCUUGGGUGGCGAGUGGCGAACGGGUGAGUAAUAUAUCGGCACGUACCGAGUAAUGGGGGAUAACUAAUCGAAAGAUUAGCUAAUACCGCAUAUUCUCUGAGGAGGAAAGCAGGGGACCUUCGGGCCUUGCGUUAUUCGAGCGGCCGAUAUCUGAUUAGCUAGUUGGUGGGGUAAAGGCCUACCAAGGCGACGAUCAGUAGCGGGUCUGAGAGGAUGAUCCGCCACACUGGGACUGAGACACGGCCCAGACUCCUACGGGAGGCAGCAGUGGGGAAUUUUGGACAAUGGGCGCAAGCCUGAUCCAGCCAUGCCGCGUGUCUGAAGAAGGCCUUCGGGUUGUAAAGGACUUUUGUCAGGGAAGAAAAGGCUGUUGCUAAUAUCGACAGCUGAUGACGGUACCUGAAGAAUAAGCACCGGCUAACUACGUG
rnacentral:rRNA from 1 species